rfam:Streptomyces viridochromogenes DSM 40736 genomic scaffold supercont1.1, whole genome shotgun sequence.
AACGACCGGUCGGACCCGUAUGCCUAGCGGCCCGCGAGCCCGGCCCACAAGUGGAGGCUUUCGAACUCCCACCUGACCGCCCUCAGGGCGUCGGGUCACCGGUCAGACGGUCCCGUCCCAGCGGCGGCGAUCCGUCCGAAAGCGCGCCCCGCGGCACCCCGCGGCGGUGCUCCGGUAGUUCGAGGAGCCCCGCCUGGGAUCGUCCGGGGCAUUUUUU